rnacentral:rRNA from 1 species
AGUGAAUAGAUACCCCGGUAGUCCACGCCCUAAACGAUGAAUGCUAGUCGUCGGGGUACUCGUUACUUCGGUGAUGCACUUAAACAGAUUAAGCAUUCCGCCUGGGGAGUACGGUCGCAAGAUUAAAACUCAAAGGAAUAGACGGGGACCCGCACAAGUGGUGGAGCAUGUGGUUUAAAUUCGAAGAUACACGAAGAACCUUACCUGGCCUUGACAUGGUAGGAACCCUUAAGAGAUUAGGGGGUGCUAGCUUGCUAGAACCUACACACAGGUGCUGCACGGCUGUCGUCAGCUCGUGUCGUGAGAUGUUGGGUUAAGUCCCGCAACGAGCGCAACCCUCGUCGUUAGUUGCUAACAGUUCGGCUGAGCACUCUAACGAGACUGCCUUCGCAAGGAGGAGGAAGGUGAGGACGACGUCAAGUCAUCAUGGCCCUUACGGCCAGGGCUACACACGUGCUACAAUGGGGCGUACAAAGAGCUGCAAUACCGCGAGGUGGAGCCAAUCUCUUAAAGCGUCUCUCAGUUCGGAUUGUUCU